UCUUCGUCCCUGAUCACUUUAUUGAUGAGGUUUUAUUUAGUGAUUUCGGUGCGUUUAUGAGUGGAUCUGGUAAUUGGUUUUGUCAUCAGAGAGUAUCUCGAUUUUCCGUUCGAUUCUCCCAUCAAGAUAAAUUUCUUCUCUAUAGAUCUCUUCUGAGAUAUUGAGUAGAUUAGUCGAAAGCUGAGAAGCAGGAACAAUUAGAGUAAAUGAUGCUAAUGACUCUUGGGUUUUGAGGUGAUAUGGGUUCUGGUGAUGAUGGUGUGGUGGUGCUGAUGAGAAAAAAGAGUAAUAUGUUUUAGUUGAAAGAUCUGAGUUUUGCCUCGUACUUUAAGGAAAUUGAGGUGUGGAAACAAAAGACAAUCUUGAACAGAAGACCAACAUAACUGCACAUUAAGUAGAGAAAAAUCCUGAAAGUACAGAAAAAAGGGUCAUCCUUGGAUUUCAGAACUACAAUGAUAUAACAGUACCUACUGAUAUUCUCAUAUUUAGGCUCAUGAAAUCCUGUAUGCGCUCAUCAUAUCUAUAUAAAGUUACAUUAAGAAAAUUGACUGUAGAUGAACUCUUUUAUCUGAAGGAGUAGUUUGCACUGUUAGAACAUAACUUUGGGGAAUAUCUGGACGGUGUGGAUGAAACAGGACAUGAUGUUGCACCAUAGAUGUUACUAAGUAUCUUGCCUACACCUUCAAGUAUGCAAUUUUGACCAAGAUGGAUGUUCUGAUCUUGAGCAUAGGAGGCCCUAGUUAAUUAGAUCCUCCUUCAGUUGAGAAGGAAGUAGUGGAUACUCUUAUUUGUAUGAGAGACUUUGGCAGGCAGGAAUUAUAACAGGUCAGGAUUACUAGAUGCCAAUGCUGAAACCGGUGCAUCCAAAGAGAACUAAGUGCUUUUGUUCUUGAUCUUGGUUGUGCUCUUCAGGUAUUUCCACUCCAAAUCUUAGGUGUUUGAGCUUUGGAGUUGAGCAUCCAGCUGCUUAAGUUGAUAGAUACAUUUGUCAUGCCUGUAACCUAUAUUCUUGUACCAACUAAGCAGCUGGAGAGGAUUUUGUUUUUUUCCGAGAGUACUUGAAUAAGAUUAAAUUGUUUUUGGGUAGAUUUCAUAAUGAUAAUGAAUAGAAGUAUUCCUUCGUAUUUGUGUUUUCGUAAUGAAUGUAUGGAUGGAAUGAUGGUGGAUAGGGAAUGAUGGUGGAUAGGUUGCAUAUUGAAAAGAAGAAACUGCAAUUGUGGUUGUAUUUCAGGCCUGUAAACUGAAAGUGCAGGUCUACGAUAAUGACCUGUAAGCUGGAAGUCCAGGUCCAUCAAAAUGAU